AAUGGGUAGGUGAAGGCCCUGCCAGAAACUAACUAGUGAAGGGUGGGUGAGGUUUCUAAGUCAAAGCAAAGUAACCCUCACAAUAAAGCAGACCCCAGGCUCGGUUAUCAGAGCUGUGGGCUCAGGAGCAUGCCAAGAGAGCAGAGGCUGGCAAGCCGGCCGAGGCGGCAGGAGGAAGCACCAGGCUCUAAGCUUCCUUUAAUGGUGUUAUGUAGAAGAAAACAGGUUUGAUGGAUCUACAUGAAAAGCCCGCCCUUGAGAGCUGUGUAUAGCAAAGGAAAGAAGAGAGCUCUGGAGCAGACAGGGAAGUGCUCCCGGUUGGGGGGUCCCCGUUCUGACCCAGUCUGGAAGGUACCAGUAGAAGAUCUAAUAACUGAGCCUCGCAGGACCCUCUCUUGCCUCGGACAGUUGAAUUUAUGACUAGCCCUGUUCCUUGAGAGUUCAGACCUGAAGAGGCUGGACCAGACAGGGAGCUUCUGAUGGUAGCUGCAGGACUCCAGGCUAACAGGGUGUUUCGAGUCCCAUGAAACAGACCUCUGCCACACUGAAUGCUCCCAACCUGGGUGUUUGCUCUCUGGUUCUCUCUCCUACAGGCUGGCUUUUGAAUCUUUUUUUAUUAAUCUCUUUUUCCCUUUUUUAUGUUUGUCCUGGAGUAGCCAGGGGUGUUUGCCACUUUUUGUCUGAAAAAAGCCAAUUGAGGCUGUAGCAAUGGAGUGAUAAAAUAGAAACAUUUUUUUUUCCUUCUGGAAACUAGCAGUUUGUCCCUGAUAAGAUUAGAAAAUUAGAGUUUGGGAAGAGGGAAGAAUAGAACACACACACACCCAAAACCUUCUGAAGCUCUGUGAGGCUAAAGCACACACUUGGAACUGAUCCAGUUCUGUUUCUUUAGCACACUGGCAGUGCUGGGACACUGUCGGGGUGGCCGGUGCCCUUGCCAGAUGUUUGGUCACAGAGCCUGUGUGUGUAUCCAGGGUGUGUGUCUGCUGUGUCUCCUGUGGUAAUAACUGCUUUUCUGUGUCAUUUCCUCUGUCAUUUCUACCCUGGUCAAAAAAAUUCUGGAGAAGGUAAAAGUUGAAUUGGGAUUUGUUUUAUGAUGUCAUCCUGUAUAAUAAAUAUGGUAAUAUGAGAAGAGAAUAUGGAUUUAAUACCUUAAAGCAAAUUAAUGCCAGUCACUUGUUCUAUGAAUCUCCGGGCAUUUGAAGUUUGUAGGGAUCGUUAAAAUAAAUAGAGCUUUUUCAGGAGGCGGAGGCUGGGCUCCAUUCCAGCAAAUGGGCAUCAGGGGUGGGGUAAUUAAUAAUUUACCUGCAAAAAUAAGUUCCUGCAAAAAAAAAAUUCAAGGAACCGUGUUAUCUUAAUUUAGGACAGGAGUUGUUGCUACUCUUUGAGCUUGCAUUACGGUGUCAGCAGACGCUGUGAAAUUGAGGUUCCAUUCUAAAUUGCCAGUGACUUCCCAUUGGACCUAGCUGCUUCCUGCAUUACUUCUAAAAGGAAGGCUAGAAGUCAGACAGAUCACAGUAAAUUACAGCUGAUCGUGAACAUUGACUUCAAGAUUAAUUUACACAAAAUGCAUAGGUACAAACUAUUCCAAUGGGCUGGGGAUACUGUAUACAGGCAAAGCGUUUGUCUAACAUACUUGAGUCCUUGGGUCAGUUCCCAGUACUAUAAAAAGAGAAAUAUUCCUGUUGAGGUAAAAGGUUUGAAGCUGUCAGGUGACUCCUGGUCAUAUGACACCUGAGAACAACAAAACACUAGUUAAUGUUUAGUUUAGGUGUCAUAGUUCAAAGAAAUGGAAAUGACCUAGGAUAGGAAACAAUCUAAAUUUCUUUGGGGAGAAAGAUGCUCCUGUGGCUGAAAAUAGAGUCUGUGGUCCUUAGAGUGUACACUGGAUAGGAGCCAUAAAAUAAUGGCAGGACUGAGAUGAAAGGGGUUAGCGUGGCCACAGAGCUCUUAGGACUAAGCUCCACCAGUUUUGGUUUGUGUAGGCACCAUUAGAUCCAUCCCACCUGUGAGGAGUUUGAAUCGUGAACCUAUGGACCCAUCCUGGGGUCCUCUAAAGCCUUGGGAAUUAGGUUUGGCCAUAAAACGUGGUUUUGUACCUAUCUCCCCAGGGGUUUUAUUUGAUAGUCUGGGAACUUAUUUCAGACACUGAAGAGGUGACUGGGGAAGUGCUAGAAAGCAGGCCAGUGUGUUUAUCCAGACAAGUCUCCAAGGCUGAGGCCAGCCAGAUAACAGACCUUGGCUUCUGCCUGGAACCAGGGUGUUCGCUAAGCACCUGGGUUUCUCAGGAGUCUUUGGAUGCAGAAGGAGUAAAUGUAUGGCCUGUUGGUCCAACCAUUUCUUAUUCUCCUCAGACAAUUGAAUAGUAAUGUUCUGCUUAAAAUGAAGUCUUAGGAAACCUAGAAAAAGAUAGAAAUAUGGAAUUUAUUGAAUAUUUCAUGUGCGGCUAUUGUCGUCAACUUUAUAUUUUAGAGAAAAGUCGAUUUGCAAAUCCAUCGUGGCCAUUGAAUGACUUCAGACCUAAGGCCAGCCCUGCCAGGCACAUGGGGAUGCUCGGGGAUGGGGGGUUACAGAUCUUCUUUGUCUUGUCUAGAGCUGCUCCUCUUUGUGCAUUUCAAAGCCACUGAAGGAUUUUGCUCUUUAAAUAAACGAACUUUGCUCAUGGCAUCACUUCUUUUGUUUUGUUUUAUGGCAUCACUUCUUGAUCUUUCUGUUUUCUUUAUAACCUCAGUCUUAUUUUUCACAUUUUGUUUCCUUCUUUAAGCAAUCGGCCCUUGCAGGUACACAUGCUGCUGAAAACACUGAUAAACACGUGAGAUUCAUCGAUGAUUACCAAGCCUUGCUGUCCCUUUUCUGUCUUAGGGAAGGGAAAAUAAUCUUUGAAAUUUCCCUUUUUUAUAUUAACUUAGCUGUCCACUCAGUAGU
rnacentral:lncRNA from 1 species